CAAAAGAAUGUUUAUGUGGUGGAGGCUCAAAGUUGGGAUUUCCACGCGAUUGGUCCGAGUCUCGCUCUCACGUGGGAAUACAGCCCCAGGUGCUAAAAGCAAAUAAGAUUAAUGGCGAAGCAACGCCUCAAACUGCCAGUCCCGACAGCUCCAGAAACGAGGAACGAGCACAAGAAGAAGAAGAAGAAAUUGAUUUUGGCUCCUGGCGGCGGCGAAGAUGGCCCGACUGCUUCCGGAGCUACCUGAAUGGGAAGUUCAGUGAUGGAAGGGACAGAUUGGAAAAUUUUACUGGAUGCUGUUAGGUAUGCCACUGGAAAAGAAGAUGAUCUUGCUGCAUCUGACUAUUUUAAAAAUCAGGCCAAUGAUAUUCGUUGCAAGCUGAUAUACAAUAUGUCGAUGCAAGGUGGGGAUCCAACUAUUGCAUCCACUCCGUGACUAUCUUGCACGGGAAGCUUGACAGGCUUACCACCUUGAUGUUGAUGGGUUUGUGAUUCCUUCCUUUUUUCCAUUUAUCUGCAUAAUCUUCUACCUAUCAGAUCUGUACUGUAUAUGAUUACAUCUGAGAUAAUCUAUUUAAGUCUCUACAAAUUUACUUAUUUGAGUCUAUAUAUGUUGUUUAUAGAAUAAUUCAAGUGAGCACACACAAAGAAAUACAAGUAUCAAAUAGCUAGGAGUGAUGAAAUCUAUUUUAUUACUUAUAGAGGGUGUUAGAUCUUUAAAAACAGCAAUCACUUGCUCUAUUCUCAAAGCAUGUGUAAAUCAAGUAGUUAGAGAGAAACUCAUACCUUGACCAUGGAGAUGGUCUUUUCAUUUGUGUUUGGUGCCUCUCCGGUUGAUGCACUGUAAAGACUAAAGAGAGUAGAAAAGUGUUUGUGCAGAGGAGAUAAAUACCUCUAUCCCAGUUAACAAAAUGAGGAUGGAAUUUGGUGGGCCGACUGCAUAUACAUAGGAUGAGACUAAGGGCUUCCUCAAGUGUCCACAAAGUUGGUCCAGUUCAUGAUGGGCCCACAACUAAAUGACUAUGCUUGUCCAUCCGAAAGGAAAUGGCAGGGCAGUCUUAAGACUGGAGUUUCAUAAAGGUCCCUGCUUUGGCAUCAAUUACUUGGUAGCAUCGUAGCCCUAUUGCAGUUCUCUCAUGGAACACAGGAUUAGAGGCAAUAUGCACUGCGGCUUGAUUAUCACAAAAUAACUGAAGAGGGGUAGGAGUUGGAAACCCAAUCUCUUGAAGGAAGUGUUGCAACCAUGCCAGCUCACUAGUAGUGUCCAUCAUCCUCAUCUUGAAUGUCUUUGUUGCUAUGAAGAAUAGGGGCACACUCGUAUGGAAGGGGGGCUCCACAAAGUCCAGGAUUGCCCUCAUAUGCAGAGACAUCAAAGCUCUGAAGCUGAGUUCCUGAUGGUAUUUCUCCGUAGAGAUUGUUGUUUGCAACGCUAAACUCAUGCAAGAAAUGCAGACUAGCGAAUGAUUUUGGUAUUUCGCCAGACAACUGAUUUGCAGAGAGGUCCAAUCUUUCCAAGUUUGUAAGCUCAGAUAUUUGGUCUGGAAUGUUUCCUGAGAAGUAGUUAUGGCUAAGAUUCAGACCAUUAAGGUUCUUCAAAUGACCAAUCUCAAGGGGGAUGUUACCACUAAGACUGUUGUUUUCAAGGGAUAUUUUUGGUCCCAUGUUGGAUAGGGAAUUGAACUCCAAAAGGCUACCAUUUCCUAUUGCAAAGAUUGAAAAAAUCAAAGACCUAUUGUCCAUUAAA